AAUGGACCCCAGAGGAUGUAAUCAAGGAGAAAGGCUGCUUCAAUAACAUGGGAGGAAAGUCUUUUUGAUGGGGUGACAUUUGAGUUGAGUCCUUGGUUGUGAGAAGGGGCCACCCAAGAAGCUGAUCUACAGAAAAAGAGUUCCAGGAAGAAAGGACAGCCAGAAGAGAGCUGUGAAGGCAAGACAGUGCUACGCUUUGCAACAAGCAAUAGAAAUCUCUCAGCCACAAGUCAUGACUCAUUUUCAGAAGGAUGUGAUCAACACCAGGGCAGAAUCAUUGACAGUUUUGUUCAAUUAUAUGAAGACUAGAACAUUUCCUGGCACUCAGAAAAGGGACAACCGUGUCUGUAACUUUCUUAAAUACCUUCUAAGACAUAGAGGAGAAGCUGAAGGGAUGUGCUACGGGGAGUGCGUAUGUCUGUAAAUCACCUGUGAGGCAUGCUGGCCAUUGAUAAAGUAGGUAGAGUCUAUGCAUGAUCACUAUGUUAGCUUCAGUGCUUCUGGCUCUGUGUUUAAACUGCUUUAAAAAUUCUGUAAAUAACACAUUUAGUUUUAUCUCAGAAUCUAUCUUUUCCAUGAUGUCAAGGACAGUGUAUCUGGAGCCUA